ensembl:lncRNA
CAUGGCUGUCCUCUUUCAUCCAAUGUGUUUACUAUUGUACUAGGUGUUAUGGUUCUUUCAUAAAUGUCACCAAUGCACAGCCUCCUCCCUCCAACUCUUCCAUAGACUCUAAUGUUAAAAUGGCUCAGAAGGUUCGUUUGAAAAUCAGAAGAGCAUGGUGUCUUUACACUGUCACCACGUCCAUAUAAUAAACUCCACAGGCAUGAAAACUGAGAAUUCGGUAGACUAGAAGCUGCUGUCGCUCACGGUGAAAGAAUUUUGUCAAUACGACUUUUACUUUUCAUUUGGGAACGAUUUGUUUCGGCCUGACUUUUCUGUUCAUUUUAAGCAGCAAAAGUGAGGCGCAUGUCUGUGUACGUGUGUAUGGAGCCAUUGGGUGCGGUCACUAUAGCAACCAGGCUCACACCUGCCUGCUUAACGAGCUCUGCCUGCCACUGUGCCAAGAUUCAUCUUAAACACUUCUCUUUCAACUGCUGCUGUGUCCACAGUGUUUGCUUUACAGCCAUCAUUUUACCCUCAAAUUGUCGCCAUUAUUGUUCUCUUUCCAACACCGUAUCUUUCAAAGCUCAGGCAUUUAAACUUUUUAAACUGUGUGGAUCAAAGUGGAGGGAUCACAUUUGAGUCAUUCAGUGAUUCAAAGAAUAUGACCUUUUAAUAUUCAUUCAGAUGUUUUCUGACUCUAAAUGUUCUUUUCUCAUUUCUUAGGGUUUUCUAAUUUACAUUUAAAACAUUUUCAGUUUUUUUCCAACUCCUUCUUCUGUGUAACCUUCAGCUUUUAGCAGUUCAGCACCUUUGUUUUCAGGUUAAAUUCGUUGUUUUUUUUGUUUUUUUAUCUCAUUCAAAAUUUUUAACUCAAAAUUCAGCAAUUAAUUCAUUUCAGUCCAUACAUUCAGAUUCAAGCAUUCACACUGCAGUUUCUUCAGAAAAUGCACUUUCUAGUUAGUUUUUGUCCUUAUAAUUACUGUUGUUAUUGAUAAUUGUUAAUUUGAUUAUUAAUAAAAGUUGAACAGAGUUUUCAAGACUAAUUCACAAGAGCAAUUCAUUUCCUUUAUCAUUUUGUUCUCUAAUUAAAUUGAAGGUGGCAUCCAUAUUUUAAUAAC